AUUGAACGCUGGCGGCAGGCCUAACACAUGCAAGUCGAACGAGUGGCGGACGGGUGAGUAAUGUCUGGGAAACUGCCUGAUGGAGGGGGAUAACUACUGGAAACGGUAGCUAAUACCGCAUACCAUCAGAUGUUCCCAGAUGGGAGUAGCUUGUUGGUGGGGUAAUGGCUCACCAAGGCGACGAUCCCUAGCUGGUCUGAGAGGAUGACCAGCAACACUGGAACGGAGACACGGUCCAGACUCCUAGGGGAGGCAGCAGUGGGGAAUAUUGAACAAUGGGCGAAAGCCUGAUGCAGCCAUGCCGCGUGUAUGAAGAAGGCCGUCGGGUUGUAAAGUACUUUCAGCGAGGAGGCGUUACCCGCAGAAGAAGCACCGGCUAACUCCGUGCCAGCAGCCGCGGUAAUUC
rnacentral:rRNA from 1 species